rnacentral:rRNA from 1 species
UACGUAGGGGGCUAGCGUUGUCCGGAAUCGUUGGGCGUAAAGCGCGUGUAGGCGGUCCGGUAAGUCCGCUGUGAAAGUCGAGGGCUCAACCCUCGAAUGCCGGUGGAUACUGUCGGGCUAGAGUGCGGAAGAGGCGAGUGGAAUUCCUGGUGUAGCGGUGAAAUGCGCAGAUAUCAGGAGGAACACCUAUUGCGAAGGCAGCUCGCUGGGACGUUACUAACGCUGAGACGCGAAAGCGUGGGGAGCAAACAGG